rnacentral:miRNA from 1 species
CAGCAGACACAUUCCAGCCUAUCAGCAGCAGACCCUCCCUCCCAUACCCUCCCACCUCCUGGACAGCUCACUAAGAAUGCAGCUUAAAAAUGGAUGCUGUCCAGGAGGUGGGAGAGUCUGGGAGGGAGGGUCUGCUGCUGAUUGGCUGGAAUGUGUCUGCUG